rnacentral:lncRNA from 1 species
UAAAUAUAACUAUAAAGUCUUUAGGCAUCCCCUUCGCUGUCUUCCUGUGGAACGGGUUCGGGAACAACGUCUUCCUGAUAUGAAAUGGUUAAAUAAGGGAUGAGCUACACCAGCCCAGUAAAGACAUCACACUAUCUCACCGCCACGAAAGUAAAGGUGGGUAGAAAACAAAAAUGACCAAUGGAGCAUAAUUUAUAACGAACUCGUUUAUUAACAUAAAAACCUUUAUUGUCCACUUACCUCGGUGGGAUCUAUGAAAACAAUAACCUUAUAAUAUCGUGAAAUCAUACACACUUUAUAACAUAACACAUAUCAUACCUUUACAUUUCAAUCAUCAGAAAACAGAUUUCCUCUUUUACCAACCUGCUAGUAUCCAUGGGGAUCCAUAGGGGGACCCCGCUACACGUUAACCAUUAACAUUUACAACUUGAUUCCAGGGCCGUCCCCAUACCCCGUCCGGUAUGGGCGCCAAAACCAUGAACUUCAAUACCCCGUCCGAUAUGAGGGUGAAACGGGCUGUCCCCAUACCUCGUCCAGUAUGGGCGGCAAAACACAUAAGGUCUCCAUAUCCCGUCCGGUAUGAGAGACCACGUUCCCAGUAGGGUUCCCUACGGACCCAGUCCGUCCACCAUCUCCCAGGAUAUCUAGUCAGGCUGUUCACAUUAUCCAUUUAUCAAUUCUCAUAACUUUUUUUUCCUUUUUUCUUGAUCUCAAUCAUCCAACCAUACACAACAUGUAAACCAGUAAU